CCUACGGGGGGCAGCAGUAGGGAAUCUUCCACAAUGGACGCAAGUCUGAUGGAGCAACGCCGCGUGAGUGAAGAAGGGUUUCGGCUCGUAAAGCUCUGUUGUUAAAGAAGAACGUGGGUAAGAGUAACUGUUUACCCAGUGACGGUAUUUAACCAGAAAGCCACGGCUAACUACGUGCCAGCAGCCGCGGUAAUACGUAGGUGGCAAGCGUUAUCCGGAUUUAUUGGGCGUAAAGCGAGCGCAGGCGGUCUUUUAAGUCUAAUGUGAAAGCCUUCGGCUCAACCGAAGAAGUGCAUUGGAAACUGGGAGACUUGAGUGCAGAAGAGGACAGUGGAACUCCAUGUGUAGCGGUGAAAUGCGUAGAUAUAUGGAAGAACACCAGUGGCGAAGGCGGCUGUCUGGUCUGCAACUGACGCUGAGGCUCGAAAGCAU
rnacentral:rRNA from 1 species